rnacentral:tRNA from 1 species
GUGGGUAUAGCUCAGUGGUAGAAUGCAUGCCUAGCAUACAUAAAAUCUUGAGUUCAAUCCCCAGUACCUCCA